GCAGCGAGCAUGUGGUUUAAUUCGAAGCAACGCGAAGAACCUUUACCAGGGCUUGACAUCCCUCUGACCGGACCGUAAUGGGUCCUUCCCUUCGGGGCAGAGGAGACAGGUUGGUGCAUGGUUGUCGUCAGCUCGUGUCGUGAGAUUGUUGGGUUAAGUCCCGCAACGAGCGCAACCCUUGUCAUUAGUUGCCAGCAGUUCGGCUGGGCACUCUAGUGAGACUGCCGGGGAUAACUCGGAGGAAGGUGGGGAUGACGUCAAAUCAUCAUGCCCCUUAUGUUCUGGGCUACACACGUGCUACAAUGGCUGGUACAAAGAGAAGCAAGACGGUGACGUGGAGCAAAUCUCAAAAACCAGUCCCAGUUCGGAUUGUAGGCUGCAACUCGCCUACAUGAAGUUGGAGUUGCUAGUAAUCGCGAAUCAGAAUGUCGCGGUGAAUGCGUUCCCGGGUCUU
rnacentral:rRNA from 2 species